CAGAGCGAGGGACGGCGGCUGCGAGGAGAGAGGCGUUUCCCUGCCGCAAGGGAUGCAGACACCACGGCCCUGGGAACUAGAGCUUUCGCCGCUGCAGCCCUUUCCGCCGGGAUGGGACGCUAGGAUCGUUUUCCUUCUACCUGUCGCUCCUUUUAAUUUUUCCUCCUGUUUUUUAAUUUUUGAUUUUUUUUCUCUUCGCCGUUUCGCAUCGUUUCUCUGACCAAAAAAAAAAAAAAAAAAAAAAGAAAAAAAAAAGCCCCCCCAACAUGGAGGCCCUUUGAUGCCUCCGGCAGCCGCGCCGGCUCCUCCCGCGGCUCUGGGAAGCCCUCCGGGCCGUGCCCCGCUUCUCCGAGAGCCGCCUCCGGCAUCGGCCCGGGCGCUGAAGGGGGCUCCCCGCGGCUCGGCCCGCCCCUGCCCCGCGCCCCGCCGGCGGGAUGCCGCUGCCGCCUGACGGGGGGCUCUUCCUUCCGACGACGGGAACCUGAAUGUCACCCCCGCGGCGGCCGGCCGUCCGCGACGGAGGCGGCGCGGGACAUGCCCAGCGCGGCGUGAGGGGCGCAGCCGGCUCCUCGGCGCGGAGGGGCAAUCUUCCAUUAUUCUUAUUAUUCGUUUAAAUUAUUGAUUUUGGCCCCAGGGCACACCCCGGCACAGCGCCGAGCGGGACCGCGAGGUGUGAGCGCGGAAGACGCGGUGGGGAGCGGCCCCCGGCCCGUUCCUGGGUUAACCGGUCACGCCGUACAAGCCCCGGUGGAAAAUGCGCCGUGCUCCGGACUAGGAGGGAGGAGAUGGUGCAGUGCCCCCGGCCGCUUUGAGCCGAGAAGACGCUGGGGUGCGCGUGGUUUGGGGCUUGGGGGCUUCUUGUUAUUUUUGCCCUUCCUCCCCCUUUUUUUCUUGCCUUUUUUGUUUUUCCCCGGAGGAGAGAAAACCCUACCAAGAUUCUCAGAUGGCUUAGAAAAAUGAAUAAUAAUCUGUGAAAAUAUGAAGUCGACCAGUUCUUGAUUUCACCCCUUCCCUUCCCUCCAGCUCCGCAGCCCACUGCUGAGAUUGAGAUAAAAGGACCCGUUUCCUGGAGGACGAGGAGAACAGACACGUUUCUGGUGUGUAGAAGGGACCGAUGGCAAUGCUUCAGAGUGUAGCGGAGACCCAGGGAAGAGGGUUCAACCUGUUAACAAAAAAUUAAGCAGGGGGAAAAUACCAACGGGAAGGAAAGAUACAGAGAUAUAUAUAUAUAUAUAUUCAUAUAUAUAUACAUAUACACAACUUAGAAGUAUUCCCCAGGUAGCCACAAAGCAUGGGCUGUGUUCCAAGCACCAACCUCUCUGACAGCAGAGUGAUCUGUCACAGUAGCAGUGAGUCUGAAGAGUGCAAUUCCCCUCACCAGACCAACACAACCGUGUCUCAACAGCAGCAAGGCAACCCCGUCCCAGGAUUAUUCAUUAAAUGCUACAACACAUCCACUUAUGAGGCGAGGACUAAUUCCUCUAAGAAAAACAAGAGGGAGAACAGCCAGAGCAUGGAGGCAGAGGUCGAGACCAGCAGAUCCAGUGUUAAGGCACCAGUAACAGAUGUGCAGUUUGGUCCUAUGAGACUUCGUCAAGAUCAACUUCAGGUACUUUUAGUGUUUGCUGAAGACGAUGACCAGAGUAAUGGGUUCCGUUGGGCAUGUGAGAAAGCUGGAUUUCGAUGUAAUAUUGCCAGGACACCUGAGUCUGCACUAGAAUGUUUUCUUGAUAAACACCAUGACAUUAUCAUUAUUGACCAUAGGCAUUCCAGAUAUUUUGAUGCAGAAGCAUUAUGCAGGUCUAUCAGAACAACGAAACCUUCAGAAAAUACAGUCAUUAUUGGUGUAGUACAAAGGCAUGCUGAUCGAGAAGAGUCAUCAAUAUUGCCUCUGAUCUCUGCUGGCUUCUCAAGGAGAUAUGUGGAAAAUUCUAGCAGGAUGGCCUGUUACAAUGAGUUGAUUCAGCUGGAAUUUGGACAGGUGCAGGCACAAUUCAAACUAAGGGCAUGUAAUUCAUUGUUCGCAGCAUUAGAGAAAAGUCAAGAAGCCAUUGAGAUCACAAGUGAAGAUCAUGUAGUACAGUACGUCAAUCCUGCUUUUGAAACAAUGAUGGGCUAUCAAAUAGGUGAACUAAUAGAAAAGCAAUUAACAGAAGUGCCUAUAAAUGAAAAAAAAGCUGAUUUCCUAGAAACUAUUAAUUCCUGCAUAAAGAUAGGAAAGGAAUGGCAAGGAAUGUACUAUGCGAAAAAGAAAAACGGAGAUAGCAUACAACAAAAUGUGAAGAUACUACCUGUCAUUGGACAGGGAGGAAAGAUUAGACACUAUGUGUCAAUUAGUAGACUGUGCAAUGACAACAAUAAGGCGGAGAAGACAUGUGAAUGUAUUCAGGCUGAAUCUCAGACAGAUAUUCAGACUUGCAGGCAAAAAGACAUGAGGAAAGGAUCACUAGAUGUCAGAUCCACAACAUCAAGAGGGAGUGAUGGCAGCUCACAAAGGCGGCGCUCUUCUAUGGCCAGGGUACAUUCCAUGACUAUUGAAGCACCCAUCACCAAGGUAAUAAACAUCAUCAAUGCUGCACAAGAAAGCAGUCCCAUGCCAGUUGCAGAAGCUUUAGACCGGGCUUUGGAGAUCUUAAGAACCACUGAAUUGUACUCUCCACAACUGGGGACAAAAGAUGAGGAUCCACAUACAAGUGACCUCGUUGGAGGGUUAAUGACAGAUGGUUUACGAAGAUUAUCAGGGAAUGAAUACAUAUUGUCAGCAAAACAAACUCACCAGGUCGCUGGCAGUUUGAGCUCUCCAAUCUCCCUCAAUGACAUACCCCCACGGAUAACAGAGGCAAUGGAAAAUGAAGAACAGUGGGAUUUUGAUAUCUUUGAACUUGAGGCUGCCACUCAUAAAAGGCCUUUGGUUUAUCUGGGUCUCAAAAUAUUUGCUCGCUUUGGAAUCUGUGAAUUCCUAAACUGUUCAGAAUCAACUCUGAGGUCAUGGUUACAAGUUAUUGAAGCUAACUACCAUUCCUCCAACUCCUAUCAUAAUUCUACUCAUUCAGCAGAUGUACUACAUGCCACUGCUUAUUUCUUGUCUAAAGAAAAAGUAAAGCAAACUCUGGAUCCGAUUGAUGAGGUUGCUGCACUCAUUGCUGCCACAGUCCAUGAUGUGGAUCACCCAGGAAGAACAAAUUCUUUCCUGUGCAAUGCUGGCAGUGAGCUGGCAAUUCUCUACAAUGACACCGCAGUGCUGGAGAGCCAUCAUGCUGCCCUGGCUUUCCAGCUCACCACCAGAGAUGGCAAAUGCAAUAUAUUUAAAAACAUGGAGAGGAAUGAGUAUCGAACCCUUCGCCAAGUCAUUAUUGACAUGGUCUUAGCAACAGAAAUGACAAAGCACUUUGAGCAUGUCAACAAGUUUGUCAACAGCAUUAAUAAACCCUUGGCAGCGCUAGAAGAAAAUGGGUUUUUUCCUUUAGAAAGAACUUUCUUCCCCACAAGAACUUUCUUCUGAAAAAUAUGUCCUAAUAAAAGGUCAGAAUGUUUCUGCUGCUUUGUAUCCACCUCUUCGUACAAAAUACUGCAGGAACUGGUGGCACAUUGUUAUUAUCAUCAUUAUCGUUACUGUUAACUUCUUCACUGCUCUGACUACAGACCAAGACUUUGUUAGGUGCCACAGAAGUCUAGUAUAUUCCUUGCUUCAAAGAGUUUCUGUUCUGCAUAGAAGGUGUUAUAAAUUUCUGUAUCUACCCAUCCCUAAAGAGUCAAGCAACAAUGCUGUACUUAUAGGUAAUUUUAAAAGAUAUUUUAACCCUGAAUCUCUGUCCCUUGGAUAUUUACUUCAUCAGAGCUCCACAGAAAUAGCUUCUAAUCUGGACCAUCAUAUUAGCUGCAUAUUGGCUCCAAAUAUAGAGUAUGUUGGCACACUUAUAUGUGCAGCCUGGGAACCAAAUAUAAGCUGCAUGUGGGCUGAAAACUUCCCUAGACUUUCAGAGGAAAGAUGAGCUUGUUUGGAAGCAUGUUGCUAAUAUAUAUAUAUGUAUCACUUUAAUACUGAUAAACUCUCAGAAAGCAAAAUUCCCAGUCAGGUCAGAGACUGAUGGGCUAACAUGCGUCCCGUGGAAGGGAGUGAGGAGCCUGGGAGGCAAUGUGGGAUCUGACUCUCCUAAUAGUAGCAGUGCUGUCACAAUGAUUGAUGCUCACAUUGAUGAGGUUUGCAUGCAGAGGAUGACCAUGCAGCUCGGGUCACUCCUUUUCUUUAAACCAGCUAUUCCACUCUUAAUGUGCAAGUCCAUUAAUCCGUGGAUUUCAGCAGAGAAUUACAUUUUUCUGCCUACACAGUGCUCAUCACUGCGUAUAGUGAUGAAUGGAUCCUCUCCACACUUUUGAGGAGGCAGAUAAGGCAUAGAGGGAUUAGAUGACUUGCCCAAAGGUGCCCUAGAGAUCUGUCACAAAGACAGUGACUGAAUCCAGAAACUGGAGUUCAGUGCUAGUUCACAACUGUGGCUAACAUUCAUAAUCCCCCUAUAAAUUUGGUAGGACAUCAAAUACAGUAGCCAGUAGCAGGACUGAUCCCUGUAGGAUCAGCUAAAAGCAUUCCCAAGGCACAAAGCUUUUGAGUAAGUGCACAGAGACCUUGCUAAUGGAUUGUUUUUAAUUCUUAAAUGUUACAGAAUAAUGGUGAUGGAGAGUCAAUCAAAACUGUUCUCAGGUCUCCAGAAAACCGUAUCCUUAUCAAGCGCAUGUUGAUAAAGUGUGCUGACAUUUCCAAUCCAUGCAGACCCAUAGAACAGUGCAUAGAGUGGGCCGGACGCAUUUCUGAGGAGUAUUUUGCACAGACUGAUGAAGAAAGGAGGCAAGGUUUACCUGUUGUGAUGCCAGUUUUUGACAGAAAUACUUGCAGCAUCCCCAAAUCCCAAUUAUCAUUCAUUGAUUACUUCAUUAUUGAUAUGUUUGAUGCCUGGGAUGCAUUUGCAGAUCUGCCAAAUUUGAUGGAGCAUCUGAAUAAUAACAUUAAAUACUGGAAAGGACUAGAUGCAAGGAAUCUGCGGGUCCUUCGACCACCACCAGAAUAGCAAUUAGACCAUGUAUUACAGUAAGGCUAGCCCAUGCGCUUGGGGAACUUUCAAAUUCAAGAGAACAUGAGGUCAGCAGUUGACUUCCACAGACUACGUGUGUGGACUCCAAUGAAAUAAGCCCACCAAGUGGAAUUACACUGGAUUGCUGCAGUACUUGUACUGAAGAGGGUUUAUUAGUGAACAUAUUUUUGCGAUAUCUUCAUACCAGUAUGUGAAGCUGGAAGACCUUGAAGAAUCCUCAUUAAAAGGACAUUCACUAGAAGAUUAUCUAUUAAUAGAGACUCACGGCUUUUAUGAGAAAGCUACAUGCUUUUUAUAAGCACUUAAGACAGUUACGUAGAACAAUCAGACAUUUAAAAUGCAACUGUCUAUGAAAGAAUUUUUGAUCUAUGAAAAUAGAUGUACUGUAUUUUUUCACAUCACAGAAGGUGCAAUCAUUCACUUCUGAGCACUACUGAAAGUGAGUUCUCUUUAAGAAAUUUAGUAGCAAAUGUAAAAAAUAACACAAGAAUUUUUGAGGUUGAUCGUUAGCAUCUAUGAUUAAAAUGUUAUGUUUUAUUUAUUUUGUUAGAUGUUCAAUAUUUUCUAUGAAUUUAUAAAUACUUAAAAGCCAAAGCCAACUUUAGACGCAUUAUAAAUUUACAUGAUUCAUACUCAUUAAUAUACAUUUAAUUGAUGUACAGACCUUUUAUUUUCAUAAUGCAAACAUAAAAUACUAUACAAUGAUACAUUUUUAUUGCACUGUAAGGAUAGAUGUGUAUGUUUAAAUAUUGUCUGAUUUAUGUUAAUUAAAAUAAGUUUUAUUGAAAAGGUCUCACUUGAGAAUAGUAGAAUAGAAAGAGAUGUAUACUGUCUGAGCACCAGAACUGCAGUAGUUCUCCCACAAACCAGUGAAAACAUCCUGCUCUUCCCUUGGCUACAAAAUAAUAAUAUGUUGAAUUUUUUUGUUUUCUCCUGUGAAAUUUUAUGACUGAAUUCCCUGUCAAAAUCUGCCUUAUUUUAUACAGUAUUUCUACAAAGCAUUCCACAGCAUAUAUGAAGAGGUAAUACUAAACAUCUAAUGAAUUUCAACAUUUUCUAGCCUAUGUAUUUUCCUCUGCCAUGAAAGAAACAGAACCUAAAACCACCAACAAAAACCUUUAACUCAAGAAGUUUGUAAGGCUGCAUAACGUCACAAUUUGAAUGAAACCUUCAUAGCAAACACCAGAAAAUAAUAAAAUGUAUAUUUUAAGAAGUGUCAAA